UCUACGGGUGGCAGCAGUGGGGAAUAUUGCACAAUGGGGGAAACCCUGAUGCAGCGACGCCGCGUGAGUGAAGAAGGCCUUCGUGAUGUAAAGCUCUAUCAGCAGGGAAGAAAAUGACGGUACCUGAGUAAGAAGCCCCGGCUCACUACGUGUCAGCAGCCGCGGUAAUACGUAGGGGGCAAGCGUUAUCCGGAUUUACUGGGUGUAAAGGGAGCGUAGACGGGAGUGGAAGUCUGGGGUGAAAGGCGGGGGCUCAACCCCCGGACUGCUAUGGAAACUGUAAGGCUGGAGUGUAGGAGAGGUAAGUGGAAUUCCUAGUGUAGCGGUGAAAUGCGUAGAUAUUAGGAGGAACACCAGUGGCGAAGGCGGCUUACUGGACUGUAACUGACGUUGAGGCGCGAAAGCGUGGGGAGCAAACAGGAUUAGAUACCCCAGUAGUC
rnacentral:rRNA from 1 species